rnacentral:rRNA from 1 species
AGCGAACGCUGGCGGCAGGCCUAACACAUGCAAGUCGAACGGAUCCUUCGGGAUUAGUGGCGGACGGGUGAGUAACACGUGGGAACGUGCCCUUUGGUUCGGAACAACUCAGGGAAACUUGAGCUAAUACCGGAUGUGCCCUUCGGGGGAAAGAUUUAUCGCCAUUGGAGCGGCCCGCGUAGGAUUAGCUAGUUGGUGAGGUAAAGGCUCACCAAGGCGACGAUCCUUAGCUGGUCUGAGAGGAUGAUCAGCCACAUUGGGACUGAGACACGGCCCAAACUCCUACGGGAGGCAGCAGUGGGGAAUCUUGCGCAAUGGGCGAAAGCCUGACGCGGCCAUGCCGCGUGAAUGAUGAAGGUCUUAGGAUUGUAAAAUUCUUUCACCGGGGACGAUAAUGACGGUACCCGGAGAAGAAGCCCCGGCUAACUUCGUGCCAGCCGCCGCGGUAACAC